CAGAGGUUGCACACAGAGGGCCUUCAUGUCCUCUGCUUCACCUUUUGAUGUAUAGGGCCUAAUUGUAAUACAUUAGGUUAACCAUCUGUGACAGUUAAUAUUAGGUGUCAACUUGAUUGGAUUGAAGGAUGCCUAGAUGGCUGGUAAAGUCUUGUUUCUCACUGUGUCUAUGUUGCCAGAGGAGAUUGACAUUUGAGACAGUGGACUGGGAGAGGAAGACCAACCCUUAAUGUGGGUGGGCACCAUUCAAUCGGCUACCAUCUCGGCUAGAAGGAAGCAGGUGGAAGAAAGUGGGCUAAGCUGGCUUGCUGCGCCUUCUGGCUUUCACCUUCCUCCCAGGCUGGAUGCUUCCUUCCACUCCUCCUGCCCUUGGACAUCAGACUCCAGGUUCCUCGGCCUUUGGACUCUUGGGCUUACGUGGGAAAGGUUUUUAUUCCUGGACUGCCAGCUCCCUCUCUGACGAUGUCCAAC
rnacentral:lncRNA from 10 species